GAGGGUAUAGCUCAAAGUGGUAGAGUGCAUGCUUAGCGUGCAGGAGGUCCUAGGUUCAAUCCCCCAGUACCUCCU
rfam:Camelus ferus unplaced genomic scaffold scaffold1629, whole genome shotgun sequence.